GGCGAGCGCCGGCGACGACGCGCGCUCCCCGGACGCCGCAUCCGCAGGCUGCGGGCUCGUCUCUCCGGGGCUGUCCGCCGCGCCGCCCGCGCACCCCGCCUGGCCGGGCUCUCCGGAGGGGAAGGCGGCCCCCAGCUCAAGGCCCAGGUCGUCCCCGGGGACGAAGGGUCAGCUGGAGGAUGUCUGUCCCGUGUCCUGGCAUCCGGCCUGGCUGCUGCAGGAGGGGCCUUUCCGCUGGGGUUCCCACCGUCCAGAGUCGGUCUUCACCAGCCCCUCAGGCCUCCCCAGAAACUUCACCAUCGUCUGGUGGUGCCUGCCGGGAAGACAGAGACAGACCUUGGGCCUUGAAGUCACAGCCUGUGAACACUUGGGGUCCUGGUGCAUUCACCGUGGCUGUUCCCCACAGCAUGGUGCCUCCUACAAACAGACUGUGCAGGAUAUAAAAAGAACCUCCCUCCCUCCUGCCGUGCAGAAGCCGCACACAUCUACUCUGCUGUGUGCCAGAGCCUGAGUACCUACCCCUGGGAACAAUCCUUCUGGGGCUCACCAACCUCAUCCCUGCCCCUGGACUCCUAGGCACAGAGUCCCAGGGAAAAGAGUGGCAACCCUUGGGGUAACUCAGGAAGUUAAACUUGGGAACGAGCUGUGUCUGUCAGGGGCACUGUUUAAGGCAACACAAGGUGCCCUCAAUUCUACUCCCUGGUGCUCGAGGUACAAGCAUGGGCUGACCUCCCAUAGC